GUCAGCAACAGCUCAGCGGUUACUUCUCGACACGGAAUUGUAAUUCUGAAAACCUUUCGGGGUUCGAAACCCGCGGGCGCCACCUGAC
rnacentral:vault_RNA from 10 species